rnacentral:rRNA from 1 species
AUUGAACGCUGGCGGCAGGCUUAACACAUGCAAGUCGAGCGCCCCGCAAGGGGAGCGGCAGACGGGUGAGUAACACGUGGGAACGUACCCUUUCUUACGGAAUAACGCAGGGAAACUUGUGCUAAUACCGUAUACGCCCUUCGGGGGAAAGAUUUAUCGAGGAAGGAUCGGCCCGCGUGGGAUUAGCUAGUUGGUGGGGUAAAGGCCUACCAAGGCGACGAACCAUAGCUGGUCUGAGAGGCUGAUCAGCCACAUUGGGACUGAGACACGGCCCAACCUCCUACGGGAGGCAGCAGUGGGGAAUAUUGGACAAUGGGCGCAAGCCUGAUCCAGCCAUGCCGCGUGAGUGAUGAAGGCCUUAGGGUUGUAAAGCUCUUUCACCGGAGAAGAUAAUGACGGUAUCCGGAGAAGAAGCCCCGGCUAACUUCGUGCCAGCCGCCGCGGUAAGAC